GAUAAACGCUAGCGGCAGGCUUAACACAUGCAAGUCGAGGGGCAGCAUAGAUUGUAGCAAUACAAUUGGUGGCGACCGGCGCACGGGUGCGUAACGCGUAUGCAACCUACCCGUCACAGGGGGAUAAUCCGGAGAAAUCUGGUCUAAUACCCCAUAACAUAUGGAUCGGCAUCGGUACAUGUUGAAAUUUUCGGAGGUGACGGAUGGGCAUGCGUAGCAUUAGCUUGUUGGUGAGGUAACGGCUCACCAAGGCGACGAUGCUUAGGGGGACUGAGAGGUUUUCCCCCCACACUGGUACUGAGACACGGACCAGACUCCUACGGGAGGCAGCAGUGAGGAAUAUUGGUCAAUGGGCGCAAGCCUGAACCAGCCAUGCCGCGUGCAGGAUGACGGCUCUAUGAGUUGUAAACUGCUUUUGUACGAGGGUAAAGUGGGUUACGUGUAACCUUUUGGAAGUAUCGUACGAAUAAGGAUCGGCUAACUCCGUGCCAGCAGCCGCCGCGG
rnacentral:rRNA from 1 species